UUCCUCUUUAUAUCAAGAUAGUAUUCAAACAUAAACAAACCUCAAACAGCAAGAAAACGUUUUUCAAGACUUUCACUCGAUGAUUUUCGGUGAAUUUCACUCUUUUCCUGCGGAUUUGUUCCACUGUGACAAAGAUUAAAGACCCCUGCAAGUGACAAGAGACAAACUACCAACCUCUGACAUGGAGAAUUGUGAUGUUCCUCGUCAGCCUCAGGAUCCCAGUCAGACCAGGAGAGCCCUGCUCAUGCUGCAGGAGCGACCAGGAUUCAAAUCCCCGUCACUCAGCUCCUGCUGCCAGAAAGAAGAGGAAGCGGGCCUCCGUGGCACGCCCCUCUUCUUCAGAGCAUCUUGCAGAGCUGACCCGGGAUCCUGCUCCUCAGCACUCCACCCAUGAUGCUGUUGUUUCUCCUCCGGUCCAGAGGCCUCAGUCCAUGAUUCCACCAGCUGAGCUGACUUCGGUCUCCAAUGUGGUCCCCAGCACCCAGCCCUCCACAGCUCCUCCAGCCGACAGUCCACUGAUGAUCCAUGGUUAUACAGUGCCAGAGUACCAGCAGAUUUACCACUCUGUGGUAGAUGACAUGCUCAGGUACAAGGAUGGUCGUCUUCGUCCUUACAGUCUGGAUCUAGGACGACGCAUAAAGUAGAAGCUGUGGGAGCGCCUGAAUCAUCCUGCGUUCACUGAAACGGUAGAUGAAAAUGGACUUGUUAAUGUGAACGUCUCAUACGAAGUUGGAGUUAAUCCUCCUCUUUAUGAUGUGGAUGUCUCUGGUGAACCACAGCCCGAGACUCAACCUAGAAAGCGAGUUAAGACUUAAAGUCUUUACUUUAGCUGUUGAGUUUAGACCUGUAAAUAUUGUAGUUUUAAGUAUAGGACUUGUAAAUAUUGUAGUUUUGAGUAAAAGUUAAGAUAAGUAAAUGUUAUAGUAUGAGUUAAGAUAAGUGUUAUAGUAUGUUAUAGUAUGAGUUAAGAUAAGUGUUAUAGCAUGAGUUAACGUAAGUGUUAUAGUAUGUUAUAGUAUGAGUUAAGAUAAGUAUUGUAGUUGUAAGUUUCACAGAAAACCUCUCAGAAAAUCUCUUACAGCCAGACCAAAAAAAACUUACGAAAAACCAAAAAAAUUCCAAGGUACAAAGACAAGCCUCCACCGUAAGCCUCUAAAAAUGUUCCUGCCUCCUCCAUGUAAAAUCUGGAAACUAGACAGCCACCAAGCUAAACCUCCAUCCUGCCUCCAUCUUUAAAAAACACAUCUGCGACCUCAAACAUGUGCCAGCAGCUUUUUACCACCAAACUGCUGCACAUGGAAAAGAAAUAUGUCAACCUCCAUCUCCAGCCUUUGCAUUAAUCCAUCAGCCUCUACCUCCACCAUCAAAAUGUUAAAAACUGUUGCAUUCACUGUCUUCUACUCAAGCCUCUGCCUGCCACCUUAAGCGUGCAAUGACUGCUAAUAUCUCGCAGGUCUCCACCUGCCAAAUAUUAGCAGUCAUUGCUCUCAACUGUAACUUUUGAUGAAAAUCGUCAGCUUACACCUGAAAGUUGCAGCUGAUAGCUGCAGCCCAUGUCUCAAUCUCCAACCUUUGUCACUGUUCAGCAGUCCAGUCUCCACUCGUGGACUCUAGCAAAUUGAGCAAUUGACUCUACCUGCCUCCUCUGCUGACAACACUCAGCCGCCUCCACCUGCAGCCUGUCAGGGAAAAUAUGCCUAUGUCUCCACCUGGAUAAUAUCCGGAGGAAGACUUCAUCCUGAUUGUCCAACUCAAGCCUCUGCAAGCAACUACCUCCACCUGCAGUUGCAUCUCCAGCUCCACCUGUGCCAAUCGAAAAAAGGUGCCUACCAUUCAAGUUACGGCCAGUAAACUGGUGCUCUGGUGCAUUGACUCCACCUACCAACUCUGCCAGCACUCUGAAUCCAUUGCCUCCACCUGCAUCCUCUGCCAGAACAGAUCAACAGUUACCUUGACCAGCACAAAAUGAAAGACAGAUGCAUCGACUGCCUUCAAAUCAUGUACCGACCAGGGACCUGAAAAACCUCCUGUAAGCAACAAUCAUUCCUCCAUCUCUAACCUCUGCUGAACACCAACCACGGAGGUUGUUUCCAACUGUAGUCUCUGCUACUCAUCAGCAGCCAAUGCCAAAACCUGCAACUUCAAAAAGCAAACUGCUGACUCCUCUCGCCUCCUUCUUUCCCUGCUAGCUUCUGCCAUGAACUGCAGGUGCCUCCACUGCAGUUCAUGGCAGACAGCUGCAGCCCAACAUAAGCCACCAACUCAUCCAGAUUCUACUUCAAACUCCAGAUCUAACCAAUGUCUGCAGCUGCCACCCCACCUGAAGCAACUGCCAAAAAUCAGCAAUGUGUUGCUCCACCUCCAGCCUCUGCUUGAAACCACUGAUCAUCAACUCUUCCUGCUCCCUCUUUCAUGAAGCAAUGUCAGCCUCACAUCAGCCUGAGCAAUAUUAAAGGUAAGUUGCCUACACCAACAUCUGCAGCCUCUAACAGAAGACUUCAGCUUCAAGCUGCAACUGCUGACCCCACCUGCCACCUCUGCAGGAGUAGAAAUGUGUUCCAGCUUCUUCCAGUGCCUUUAACUGCAACCUUGAGCAGCCUUAUCUGCAGAUUGGCCAAGUGAGCUGCAGCUUGUGUUCAACACAGUGUGUCAGAUAAAUAAACCUGUACAUCUGUUAGCAACACAUAUAGAACAGCUAGGUUGUCUUCAAUGCUUUCGUUUCCAGCCACUGCCUGAAACCUGCAUCCACUUUUACCUUGAUUUUGUAUCCACAAACUACUGAAAACUACUUCAACAACAUUUAUAAUGUAUCAGCAUUGCCUGCACUUGCAGCCUUUUACAGCAAGUGUUGCCACCAAGGCCACUGCAGAGCCACCAGUCUUUGACCAAAGCCUCUUCACCUGUUUUUGGCUGACAGUCGAAAGAACAGGCUCAACCUGCACUCUCUUACAAACACCUGUUGCCAACGCUACAACUUGAAUCUGCUCCAGCAACAUAUUACAGCCUUUCCUUACAGAUUGUGUCUUAUAGCUGUAGCCUCCCUCCACCUGCAGCCUAUGCUUCUAUAUGCAUCACUACCUCCCACAGUGCCAUGUGAACAACAAUCACCUUCAGUGCCUUCUACACUGUCUCCACCUGCCAAAAAACAGUUGCAUCCACCUCCUGUUUGAGGCCAACAACUGCAGCCCCUACCUCAAACUCCAACCCCUGCCAGGCCUAACCCUCUCCCUACACCUACUGCAACAAAUCACAACCCACCACCUCCAACUCUGCCUGCUGCCUGUCCCAUCAUCUUCAGCUGCUGUCUCCAACUAAAGACUUCGCCUAAAACAUCUUUUGCCACCUCACUCAGCGUAAGUCUCUUAUAGGAACUUGCAAUUGCCUUCACCUACAGAUUGUGUUUACUAAAGCUGCUGUCCAUCCUUUCAACUCCAUCUUCUGCCAAACACCAACUAAUGUAACUUCUAACUGCAGCCACUGCCUCCACCUUCAACUUCACAAACUGCUCCUGACUCAUGAGCUUCCUCAAACUUGAGUGCACAAGACAGCUAUCUCCACCAGCCAAAAAAAUCAGCAGCUGACACCUUCAACUUCCUCUUCUGAUGGCACCCAUCACCCUUCAUUCUGACCUGUAAAUGGUGGAAACCUGCAUCCACCUACUGUUUGCAGCCAACCUAAAGCUGCCUCCUCUCGAAUCCUGUGCUUCCAAAUCUCUGCAACAAACCAGCAGCAAAGCCUCCCAUUACUUACGUCUCUUGUCUCUCUGUGUCAUUGAGCAGCACGUGGUCAGGAACAUUGGUUUGCUUUUCCACAUUACCUUUCUUUCUCCCCCCCUAACAGAGUUUGGUUUUCCCCAACUUGUGUUGAUUGUAGGCUUUUUUUCUUUUUGUUUUUUUAUGUCUUUUUUUUUCUUUUCUUUUUUUUUAGAUUUAUUUUAAUGUACCCCUUCAUGGGUCGCCACCUUAACCUGGUGGAGGGGUUUCAGUGCCCCAGUGAUCCUAGAGGCUAUGUUGUCGGGGGCAUUUGUCCCUGGUGGCCUGAGAUAACUGAUGGAGAAAUCCAAAUAUUAAACAUUGUUAAAAUAGCUAUGAAGGUGUUUCAAUAUUGUAACUGCAUUACUACAAUCAGUGUUACCAUCAUGAAGCAAUGCGUGAACACUCAUCUUGGAUUAAGAGCCAAAUGUGCACAAUUUUCUUUGGUAUACUUUCUAUGGUGAUUGUAACAUGUUUUGGUUUUAGUUGGCAAUUUUUUAAAGUUGGUUUCUUUUUGUGGAGUUUCUCUCAUCCUCACAGAGAUUGGGCGGCUCCUUUCUGCACCUGAUCACUGUAAUCACCACCACCAUUUAAGCCCUGCUGUGAGGCUUCUCUAAUGCCAGAUUAUUACUCCAUCAGAUAGUACCUCCACGAGCCCCAGUGCUACCGCCCAAUCACUGCCACGCUGCCAUACUCUCUCCCCAGACUUCAGACCAGCCUCCUCCUCAAUCCCACCUCUGAUUUCCCUCCUCAUGCCUUGGACCCUGGAUCCCUUCCCUCCUUGCUCCCUUCAAUAAAUUCACUGAACUGCU